rnacentral:lncRNA from 1 species
UUUUCAUUCCCGUUGUUAUGGAGGUUGCAAAUUCGUGAAGAAUCAGCAUCAUGUUUGGCAGCUGAGUAUUGGAGCCAGGAGCCUGCCAUGAGGUUUUGAGAACAGAGUGCUGUUUUAGAGCUGGCAGCAGCAUCUCAGCCCAAGAGAAGGUUAUAUUCCCAGAGGAUGUCAGUCCCAAGGACCAGUAGCUGCCAUCAGUUUGGAUUCUGAAAACUAACUGGCAUCAACACUGGGUGUAGAAACAUGCUUGCCUUAUGUAUCAGAGGACAUGCUCAGCAGAUCCAAGAGAUAUAUUUGGCAACUUUUUCUAGAAAAGGCACAUUGGGUAUCAUUCAUUACAUUCUUGAGUUUUUUUGGGUUUUUUUUUUUUUUUUUGAGACAGUCUUGCUGUAUUGCCCAGGCUGGAGUGUGGUGGCACAAUCACAGCUCAUUGCAUCCUCAAUCACCCAGGCCUAAGCAAUCCUCCCACCUUGUAGCUGGGACUACAGCUCACAGCACACCUGGCUAAAAUUUUUUUUUUGUUGAGACGGAUUCUCUAUGUUGCCCAGGCUGGUCUCAGGCUCCUGGGCUCAGAUGGUCCUCCUGCCUCAGCUUCCAAAGGCACAGGCCAAGUUGUAGCUUUGUCCCUUGCCAUCAUGCCCAACAAGAGGUUCUAUACCUUUUAAUGAAUUGACUUUCAUAAAUUGGUUAUGUUGGUGGGCAAAGUUCUUUAAGCUGGAAAUUGUAAAUUCCUCCUGAAAUGUUUUUUCAUGCAGUUACCAUGAACUAAUACUACAAUAAAGGAUGGUCUUGG